UACGUAGGGCGCAAGCGUUGUCCGGAAUUAUUGGGCGUAAAGAGCUCGUAGGCGGUCUGUUGCGUCCGCUGUGAAAACCCGGGGCUCAACUUCGGGCUUGCGGUCGAUACGGGCGGGCUAGAGUUCGGUAGGGGAGACUGGAAUUCCUGGUGUAGCGGUGAAAUGCGCAGAUAUCAGGAAGAACACCCGUGGCUAAGGCGGCUCUCUAGUACGGUACUGACGCUGAGACGCGAAAGCGUGGGGAGCGAACAGG
rnacentral:rRNA from 1 species